rnacentral:lncRNA from 1 species
GAAGUUUGAUAAUAUAGCCUUCUAAGGAGCUGUGUUUUUCUUGAAAUUUGAAUACAUCUGGCAAGACAACUUCAAGUACAGAUGGACCCAAAUUCCCUGGAGAUAAAAGUUCAACAACACAAAAUAAUAACCAGCAGAAAAAAGGGAUCCAGGUGUUACCUGAUGGUCGGGUUACUAACAUUCCUCAAGGGAUGGUGACGGACCAAUUUGGAAUGAUUGGCCUGUUAACAUUUAUCAGGGCAGCAGAGACAGACCCAGGAAUGGUACAUCUUGCAUUAGGAAGUGACUUAACAACAUUAGGCCUCAAUCUGAACUCUCCUGAGUAAGUUUUUUCUGUUUUUCCAUGUCUGUAUAUAAUACCUCUUCAGACUUCCAGU